AACGUAGGGGGCUAGCGUUGUCCGGAAUUACUGGGCGUAAAGGGCACGCAGGCGGUCUGUAAAGCGGUGGGUGCAAUCUCGAGGCUCAACCUCGAAACUGCUUGCCGAACUGGCAGACUAGAGCACGGGAGAGGACAGUGGAAUUCCCGGUGUAGCGGUGGAAUGCGUAAAUAUCGGGAGGAACACCAGUGGCGAAGGCUGCUGUCUGGAACGUUGCUGACGCUGAGGUGCGAAAGCUAGGGGAGCGAAC
rnacentral:rRNA from 1 species